UGGGGAAUUUUGGACAAUGGGCGCAAGCCUGAUCCAGCCAUGCCGCGUGAAGGAUGAAGGCCCUAUGGGUUGUAAACUUCUUUUGUACGGGAAAAAACGCUCCUACGUGUAGGAGCCUGAUGGUACCGUAAGAAUAAGCACCGGCUAACUCCGUG
rnacentral:rRNA from 1 species